UCCCCUACGGGAGGCAGCAGUGGGGAAUAUUGCACAAUGGGGGAAACCCUGAUGCAGCGACGCCGCGUGAGUGAAGAAGUAUUUCGGUAUGUAAAGCUCUAUCAGCAGGAACGAGACAAGACGGUACCUGACUAAGAAGCCCCGGCUAGCUACGUGCCAGCAGCCGCGGUAAUACGUAGGGGGCAAGCGUUAUCCGGAAUCACUGGGUGUAAAGGGAGUGUAGACGGCUGUGCAAGCCUGAAGUGAAAGGCGGGGGCCCAACCCCCGGCCUGCUUUGGGAACUGUACGGCUGGAGUGC
rnacentral:rRNA from 1 species